GACGAACGCUGGCGGCGUGCUUAACACAUGCAAGUCGAACGGUGAACCUCCCUUCGGGGAGGCGAUCAGUGGCGAACGGGUGAGUAACACGUGAGCAACCUGCCCUUAGCUCUGGGAUAACCCCGGGAAACCGGGGCUAAUACCGGAUAUGAGACCGCGCGGCAUCACGCGGUCUGGAAAGUUUUUCGGCUAAGGAUGGGCUCGCGGCCUAUCAGCUUGUUGGCGGGGUAAUGGCCUACCAAGGCGACGACGGGUAGCCGGCCUGAGAGGGCGACCGGCCACACUGGGACUGAGACACGGCCCAGACUCCUACGGGAGGCAGCAGUGGGGGAUCUUGCGCUAAUGCGCGAAAGCGUGACGCAGCGACGCCGCGUGGGGGAUGAAGGCCCUCGGGUUGUAAACCCCUUUCGGCAGGGACGAAGCGAAAGUGACGGUACCUGCAGAAGAAGUCCCGGCUAACUACGUGCCAGCCGCCGCCGUAAUAC
rnacentral:rRNA from 1 species